rnacentral:ncRNA from 2 species
AUAAAUUAUAUAAAAGCCCUUCGUAUAACCCUAUUAAUUUGGUAUAGGGGUAUCUACCGUGGAACCUUAAUUCCUGCUUACGAAGAAAAUACGUCACAUA